GAUGAACGCUAGCUACAGGCUUAACACAUGCAAGUCGAGGGGCAGCAUGAACUUAGCUUGCUAAGUUUGAUGGCGACCGGCGCACGGGUGAGUAACACGUAUCCAACCUGCCGAUGACUCGGGGAUAGCCUUUCGAAAGAAAGAUUAAUACCCGAUGGCAUAGUUCUUCCGCAUGGUAGAACUAUUAAAGAAUUUCGGUCAUCGAUGGGGAUGCGUUCCAUUAGCUUGUUGGCGGGGUAACGGCCCACCAAGGCUCCGAUGGGUAGGGGUUCUGAGAGGAAGGUCCCCCACACUGGAACUGAGACACGGUCCAG
rnacentral:rRNA from 1 species